CACUAUGCACAGCCCUAAACUUUGAUAGAAACAUUACAUCCGCUAUCCGCCAGGGUACUACGAGCUCUAGCUUAAAAUCCAAAGGACUUGGCGGUGCUUUAGACCCACCUAGAGGAGCCUGUUCUAGAACCGACAACCCCCGUUCAACCUCACCCUCCCUUGUCCAUUCCGCCUAUAUACCGCCGUCGUCAGCUUACCCCAUGAAGGAUUCAUAGUAAGCAAAACCAGUACAACUUAAAACGCCAGGUCGAGGUGUAGCGCAUGAGAGGGGAAGAAAUGGGCUACAUUCCCUAAACCAGGGCAUACGGAAAAUACAAUGAAAUACGUGUUAGAAGGAGGAUUUAGCAGUAAGCAGAAAACAGAGUGUUCUACUGAAACUGGCCCUGAAGCGCGCACACACCGCCCGUCACUCUCCCCAAACAAAUAAUUCAAAUAAUUAAUAAGCCAAACAAACAAAGGGGAGGCAAGUCGUAA
rnacentral:rRNA from 1 species